CCUUUCCCGUGAAAAAUUAUUAUUAGCUUAAAUCAUUCUUCUAUUUUUUUGGUGGCACUUUCCCCAAGAAACCUAUAUUUUUUGCGACGUGGAACUAUUGAAAAACAACAAAAAACUAUUUUAUUGAAAUUUCACUCCACAUGCCCCAGCUAUUUUUUUUACCACGAAACCCAUUGUACCCUUAUUUUCCCCUAAAUUUGACAUAAUGCUCGUGGUGAAUUUUGGAUUAUUGUGCCAUUCAAAGCCUUUCAGGCACAGCGAGGAAUGUUUUGUCUCUUAUUAUCACACAGGCAAGCAUAAUGACGUAAUCAUUUGCGUAGCCUAAACUCAUUAAAAGAGAGGAAGAGACAACACGUAGCAUACCGCACUGCCUUUGAACAUCCUGAACAUUUUUUUUGUUUACUUCGUGCAUCGCGGAACUUUUUUUGUUUGCUUUUGUCUUUACUGACAUCUUGCUUAUCGCGGAAUCGAUCGUUCAAAAACGUGUAACAAGUUUAAUCGUAAAAACAGACUUGAGCUCGUAAAACUUCUGUAGCUUCUAAGAUUUAAUUUACAAAGCGUCCUGUACCUGCAAAUUAAGAGGAAAAUGAAGGAAACAAGGAUGACACGUGAGGAAUUUAUAAUUUGUACCAAUUAUCUGGCGACUCGAUGGAUUAUUGUACACAAGCCACGCAAAAUAGUCACCGGGUCAAUACAUUCGGGCUCCUGCUCUUCCUCUCGAUGGGCCAACUGCUCACUGCGUCCAAUUUGCAUCUACUUCUCCGAUCGGCACUCGGUGUGAAAUUAAAACCGUCUUUUCUACAGCGUGCGCAAGUGAAACACAAGAACCGCCGAGGGCCCAUUACUGUCGCAUCUGGAAGCGUUGGAUCUCCGAAUGGAUCACCACUGCCCCUGGAUCAUCAACUGCUUUGGUGAAUUGGAGCCGGAAUUUCUUGGAUCCAGCAGAGUGCCCUUACCCGAGCCACAGGUGAAAGAUUGUAUAGCUUAGCAGAAGUUUUAGUUGUGUUCCAUGCAGUAACACACAUGGAGAUUUUUUGUAAUUAUGUUUACAUUUAAGCACAGGACAAAUACACAGGGAAUGUGAGUAUUAUUA